rnacentral:rRNA from 1 species
AUGACUCUGCCAAAAUCAAAAGGCGGCAUGGGGUUCAGAGACAUGAGAGCAUUUAACCAAGCUAUGUUGGCUAAACAGGCUUGGCGUUUAAUUGAUUCCCCUGAUAGUUUGUGUGCCUGCCUUCUAAAGGCCAAGUAUUAUCCGAACGGUAAUAUUCUUGAUACUGUGUUUCCGGCGAACUCAUCGGCAGUAUGGAAAGGUAUUGUUUAUGGCCUG